UGGCCGUUGCUGUGGCAACGCGCAGGCGAACCGGCCGCAGGGCCUCCCGCUGCGGGCGGGCCCGCCUCCCCUCUCAGUGUCUCCGGGGGCCCAGCCGUUGGGACCUCCUAUACCCCGGGUCUGGUGUUCGGGGUGAUCCCGGUCUGCCCAGUUUCAGCUCCACCUUCUCACCUCCACCCAUCCUGAGACCUGACCCCUUUUGGAAGUUUAAAGUGAACUUACUGUAGGCUCUCAUGUGUGAAUAUAAGUAUAGUGCAUCAGUACUGUAAAGACCUCACCAACUGGAAGUUACAGUUUUCACCAUCAGCUUACCUUAUCCCUUUUGGUCUGGUUCUUUUCCUCAAGGAGUGGAAACUUCUUUCCUUCAAGUUGCUUUAGUUGCAGAGUUAAGCUAAUGGCCAAUAGUGGGUUUGGUAAACAAUGCGCAAAAUGCUCCAACUGUUCAUCUACUUCUAAGCAAGAUGUACUGUAUGUAUGUGCCUGUAGAAGAAGGCUUUCUCCAAUCUCUGUGGUGGAAAUGUCCCAAGAAUCAAGCAUGGGCAGCUCAGAAUAUGAAGUUUCAGCAGACAGAAAAAAAGAAAACCGACCCAUCACAGAUAGUGCCUCUGGGAAAGUUAUGCCCUCGAAAACCUCCAAUGUGGAGAGAAAAACGUCUCAACAACAAUGGAGUCGGGGAAACAUUACAGAAGGAAAAGUUCCUCACAUAAGGAUGGACAACGGAGCUGCUAUUCAGGAAAUCUAUACCUUUGGAAGAAUAUUGGGACAAGGGAGCUUUGGAAUGGUCUUUGAAGCUACAGACAAGGAAACAGAAACUAAGUGGGCAAUUAAAAAAGUGAACAAAGACAAGGCUGGAAGCUCUGCUGUGAAGCUACUUGAACGGGAGGUGAAUAUCCUGAAAAGUGUGAAACACGAGCAUAUCAUACAUCUGGAACAAGUGUUUGAGACGCCUAAGAAAAUGUACCUGGUGAUGGAGCUUUGUGAGGAUGGAGAACUCAAAGAAAUUCUGGAUAGGAAAGGGCAUUUCUCAGAGAAUGAGACAAGGUGGAUCAUUCAAAGUCUCGCAUCAGCUAUAGCAUAUCUUCACAAUAAGGAUAUAGUACACAGAGAUCUAAAACUGGAAAACAUAAUGGUCAAAAGCAGCUUUACUGAUGAUAACAAUGAAAUGAACUUAAAUAUAAAGGUGACUGAUUUUGGCUUAGCUGUGAAGAAGCAGGGUAGGAGUGAAGCCAUGCUGCAGACCACAUGUGGGACUCCUAUCUAUAUGGCCCCUGAAGUUAUCAAUGCCCACGACUAUAGCCAGCAGUGUGACAUUUGGAGCAUAGGUGUCAUAAUGUACAUUCUAUUAUGUGGAGAACCACCCUUUUUGGCAAGCUCAGAAGAGAAGCUAUUUGAGCUAAUAAGAAAGGGAGAACUACAUUUUGAAGAUCCAAUCUGGGAUUCCAUAAGUGAUUGCGCUAAAAGUGUGUUGAAACAACUUAUGAAAGUAGACCCUGCUCACAGAAUCACAGCUAAGGAACUUCUAGAUAACCAGUGGAUAACAGGCAACAUACUUUCUUCAGCAAGACCAACCAAUGUGUUAGAAAUGAUGAAACAAUGGAAAAAUAACCCAGAAAGUGAUGAGGAAGACACAACACAUCCAGAGAAAAACUGGUCCAUUCAAGAAAAGUUGAAAGGUUACCAACCGAGCAGACCCAGUGGAAAUGUCCAGAACACCAGUAGCACUUCAGAUGAAGAGGAGGAAAAACAGUCCACUGCUUAUGCAAAGAAAUUUCCUGUGACCAGUAAGAAGGAAAACGCGGACAACUCGGACUCGAAGCAUGCAAGUUCUGCAGGUAGCAGAAACUUCCCAGCCGGACUCAAGGGAGAACCAGAGAAAUCCCCCAUGACGUCAAGCCAAGGACCGGCAACCAAAUACAUUGCUAAAUCCAAUGCCGUGCCUAGAACCAAAAAGAAACUCUAAGGUUCCCUUCACAGGUGACCAGCACCACACUCUGCCACGAGGACUGGGAGCUGCACAAAGAAUGUCCCCUAAGUAGAAUCAGAUUGAGAGACUCAGUUCAUUCAAGAAAUAUUUACUGACCAUCUGCUAUUGCCGGGCACAGUGAUAGGCAAUGGGCAUAAGAUGAGGACCCAGGUGCCCAAGAAUCCUGCCUCUGCCGGGUAUCACUCAGGAACCACAGCUCCAACCUCACUCAUCCCCGUGCGGCCUCUCUGGAACAGUCCAUGGGUGGCUGACUUGAGAAGGAAAGAGUGCAGAAAGCAAGCAAGGGAUUGCGCUGUUCUGUUGGGCGUCUGGAAAUCUCAGUGGCCUGAGUGCCCAGAGAGUGGACUGGGUUCUGCAGGCUCAGUUUCCCUCCAAGGCUCACCGAUCGCUUCCACAACUCACUGAUGGCACCAUACAUGCACUGUGUGUUUACUAUUGACAAAUGUAAGCUUAAACACAUUACAAGCCAGAGCUGUGUGUACUUGAAAAUCCUUCAGUGAUUCUAUCAUCCUGUUCAAGUCACACAAAUUCUAGGAUUUUAUCACCAGUAGUGAGUUCCUCUCUGUGAACAGCAAUGUGGGGAAGAAGGAGUGGUGAGUAUACCUCCAAAGUGACCAUGGACAGAAACAUUUCUCAUUUAAACCAACACGAACGCCUACCUUCACUGGCCUGGUGGUGGGAAGUUCUCUGUUGGAAACCCCUUUGUGCGGCAAAUAUGCGUUACAACACUUUGUAGGGUUAACCGACAUCGAUGAAGCCGAACUGACAGAAGUCUGUAGUUAAAAGGCAAGACUAACAACUAAUUAAAACUACAGCCGCUUCGGCUAGUGUGCUUCAA